GGGCCCGCACAAGCGGUGGAGCAUGUGGUUUAAUUCGAUGAUACGCGAGGAACCUUACCAGGGCUUAAAUGUAAGUUGCAUUAGUUAGAGAUAACUAUUUCUUCGGACCACUUACAAGGUGCUGCAUGGUUGUCGUCAGCUCGUGCCGUGAGGUGUCAGGUUAAGUCCUAUAACGAGCGCAACCCCUGUUGUUAGUUGCCAGCGAUUCAAGUCGGGAACUCUAACAAGACUGCCGGUGCAAACCGUGAGGAAGGUGGGGAUGACGUCAAAUCAUCACGGCCCUUACGUCCUGGGCUACACACGUGCUACAAUGGUAGGGACAGAGAGCAGCCACUACGCGAGUAGGAGCGAAUCUAUAAACCUAGUCGUAGUCCGGAUUGGAGUCUGCAACUCGACUCCGUG
rnacentral:rRNA from 1 species